rnacentral:misc_RNA from 1 species
GGUAGUUGUCGGUCCCAUGGCAGCAGCUGUGGCGGCAAAACCACGAGGACGACGAGGCGGCGGCGGCGGAGGUUGAAGUUGGUGCGAUAAGUAGUCGGAGGCAUGAUUAGCUUGGGGUUGAAGAUCUUGAUGGAAACUAUCGUCGUUUAAGCUGCCGCUCAUCUUCGUCGAAAUCUUGCAGCUUACAAACAAUUUCGAAUUACAUUGAUUCGUUCGAAUCAGUAGCCCUCAAGAAUUCCGAUUGCUGCUCUCUUCGGAGUCCAUUUCUUCCGACAAGACGACGCACCUUCGCCUCCCACUCAU